GAUGAAGAACGCAGCGAAAUGCGAUAAGUAAUGUGAAUUGCAGAAUUCAGUGAAUCAUAGAAUCUUUGAACGCACAUUGCGCCCGCCAGUAUUCUGGCGGGCAUGCCUGUUCGAGCGUCAUUUCAACCAUCAAGCCCCCCGGCUUGUGUUGGGGACCUGCGGCUGCCGCAGGCCCUGAAAAGCAGUGGCGGGCUCGCUGUCACACCGAGCGUAGUAGAUCUCAUCUCGCUCAGGGCGUGCUGCGGGUUCCGGCCGUUAAACCACCUUCAUAACCCAAGGUUGACCUCGGAUCAGGUAGGAAGACCCGCUGAACUUAAGCAUAUCAAUAAGCGGAGGA
rnacentral:misc_RNA from 1 species